AUAAACACAAUCCAAUGAAAUGAAUGAUCUCCUGCACUUAGUCUGGCAAAACCCAGCAAAUCCUAGGACAGUACCUGGCCUGGUCACUCUGUUUUUGGAGUGAAGAGAAACAUUUGUUGUGUGCAUCUAUGACUGUAUCAUCUUGUCCUUUAUAGGACUGACAAUACAUGCAGGCCUAGGAUGUCUGGGAGCACAGAAGAGAGAGAGAGAAAUGUCCCCUGGCCAUCAUGGGUGACCUUCUUUCUCAGCUUCUCAUAAGCCAGGACCCCAAAUUCCCCUCAUCCUUGAUUCUAAAUAAGGGAAUCACAAGUUUUCCUCUGUGAUCUCUCUCCAGAGUUGAACUGAUGAUCCUCUCUUAGCCUUGACGCCUGGGAUCAAACCAGAGGGGAAUCGUUAGGUCCUGGGAGAAUGCCCAAUAAUGAGGGCUCACAUGUCACUCAAGAAACUUUAUCUGCUAAAAAUGACAGCAGCUGAGUGCCUCAUGCCAUUUCUAGUUCACUUUCUUGGCUUCCUGCUGCAAAAGAUGUGAGCUCUCAAGGGCUGCUCCAGGUGCCACGCCUGCAGCCUGCAGCCUCUGUUCUGUCAUCUUGGACUCUAACCCUCUGCAAUCAUAAGCCCAAAGAAACCCUUCCUUCUGUAAGUUGCCUCGGUCAGGAUGUUUUACUACAGCAACACAAAAAGCAGCUAAGACAAUGUGAAUAGCCUGGUUUGAAGAGGGUGACAGUGGUUGCCUCUGCGCUGGCUCCACUUCUGGGUCUCCAUUCUUCCUCUAACUAUACGCUGGAAGCCACAUCUUGUUAUUCUUGAGACUGGCUUCUAAGAGAAGUGAAGAACUCAUCAAGAUGAGACAAGUAUGCCUUCUUUUUACUACUAAGUGUGGAGCUCUUAAUGCCCACUUCCUGCUGGUCACGCAUACAGGACACAACCUCAAAGCAUAGCCCUGGGAACCAUAUGCUCCACUUUGCUCUUUCGUCCCCACCACAGGAAGGCAUGCCACUGAGGGUUCUGGUGUCACUUGGUAGGUAGGUAGAUAUUAACAUAUCUUGAGCAUUUGUUUCUUUGCAGGUAUUGGCUAAAGCUGUCCUUGGCAUCUGGGUGGGGGUAGCUCAACAGCAAAGCUCAUUGAGAAAUCAGUAAGAAGAAAGUCGGGUGCAUCCUCCCCUAGGACCCUAAAUUCUACCCAGACUGGCCUUUCCUGGAUCUUUCUACCACUAGUUCCAGUGAGACACAUCCUAUCUAACCUGUGGUCUUACAUGGGGUUACAGAGCUGAGCGUGGGUAUCUGGUGAGGGUAUCUAGUACACACACUUACCGUCUGCUGGAUCACUGUUGUAGACUUGCUGCUGGUGGUGGUCCAUGUUGCUCAGGACAGCACGGGGCUUCUUGACUUGGUUUCUAGGAGUACUUGCUUCUGCAAAAAAGCACGAGAGAAGGCACCAUGAGACUGGGAUGUAAGAGUCCAGGGAAAGAAAGCUGAGCUGUCUUAUUUAUAAUAGCCAGAAGCUGGAAAGAACCUAGAUGUCCCUUAACAGAAGAAUGGAUACAGAAAAUGUGGUACAUUUACACAAUGGAGUACUACUCAGCUAUUAAAAACAAUGAGUUUAUGAAAUUCUUGGACAAAUGGAUGUAUCUGGAUGAUAUCAUCCUUAGUGAGGUAACCCAAUCACAAAAGAAGUCAUUAGAUAUGCACUCAAUGAUAAGUGGAUAUUAGCCCAGAAACAUAGAACACCCAAGAUACAAUUUGCAAAACACAAGACAAUCAAGAAGAGGGAAGACCAAAGGUGGAUACUUCAUUCCUCCUUAGAAUAGGGAACAAAAUACCCAUGAAAGGAGUUACAGAGACAAAGUUUGGAGCUAAGACGAAAGGAUGGACCAUCCAGAGACUACCCCACCUGGGGAAUCCAUCCCAUAAUCAGCCACCAAACCCAGACACUAUUGUGUAUGCCAGAAAGAUUUUGCUGAAGGGACUCUGGUAUAGCUGUCUCGUAUGAGGCUAUACCAGUGCCUGGCAAAUACAAAAGUGGAUGCUCACAAUCAUCUAUAAGAUGGAACACAGGGACCCCAAUGGAGAAGCUAGAGAAAGCACCCAAGGAGCUGAAGGGGUCUGCAAUCCUAUAGGUGGAACAACAAUAUGAACUGACCAGUACCCCCCAGAGUUCGUAUCUCUAGCUGCAUAUGUAGCAGAAGAUGGCCUAGUUAGCCAUCACCGGGAAGAGAGGCCCCUUGGUCUUGCAAACUUUAUACGCCCCAGUACAGGGGAACACCAGGGCCAAGAAGUGGGAAUGGGUGGGUAGAGGAGCAGGGCGCGGGGGGGGGGGGGGUGGUAUAGGGAACUUUCAGGAUAGCAUUUGAAAGGUAUAUAAAGAAAAUAUCUAAUAAAAAUAUUAUU
rnacentral:lncRNA from 1 species